rnacentral:rRNA from 1 species
AGCUUGCUUCUCUGAUGUUAGCGGCGGACGGGUGAGUAACACGUGGAUAACCUACCUAUAAGACUGGGAUAACUUCGGGAAACCGGAGCUAAUACCGGAUAAUAUUUUGAACCGCAUGGUUCAAAAGUGAAAGACGGUCUUGCUGUCACUUAUAGAUGGAUCCGCGCUGCAUUAGCUAGUUGGUAAGGUAACGGCUUACCAAGGCAACGAUGCAUAGCCGACCUGAGAGGGUGAUCGGCCACACUGGAACUGAGACACGGUCCAGACUCCUACGGGAGGCAGCAGUAGGGAAUCUUCCGCAAUGGGCGAAAGCCUGACGGAGCAACGCCGCGUGAGUGAUGAAGGUCUUCGGAUCGUAAAACUCUGUUAUUAGGGAAGAACAUAUGUGUAAGUAACUGUGCACAUCUUGACGGUACCUAAUCAGAAAGCCACGGACUAACUACGUGCCAGCAGCCGCGGUAAUACGUAGGUGGCAAAGCGUAAUCCGGAAUUCAUUGGGCGUAAAG